rnacentral:rRNA from 1 species
UACGAAGGGUGCUAGCGUUGUUCGGAAUUACUGGGCGUAAAGCGCGCGUAGGCGGUGAUGCAAGUCAGGGGUGAAAUCCCGGAGCUUAACUCCGGAACUGCCUUUGAAACUGCAUUGCUGGAGUGUGUGAGGGGAUAGCGGAAUUCCUAAUGUAGAGGUGAAAUUCGUAGAUAUUAGGAGGAACACCGGUGGCGAAGGCGGCUAUCUGGCACACAACUGACGCUGAGGCGCGAAGGCCAGGGGAGCAAACGGG